rnacentral:rRNA from 1 species
GACGAACGCUGGCGGCGUGCUUAACACAUGCAAGUCGAACGGUGAAGCGCCUUCCUUUUUGGUGGGUGUGGAUGAGUGGCGAACGGGUGAGUAACACGUGAGUAACCUGCCCCCUUCUUCUGGAUAACCGCAUGAAAGUGUGGCUAAUACGGGAUAUUCUGGGUCUGUCGCAUGAUGGGUCUGGGAAAGAUAUUGUUUCGGUGGGGGAUGGGCUCGCGGCCUAUCAGCUUGUUGGUGGGGUGAUGGCCUACCAAGGCGGUGACGGGUAGCCGGCCUGAGAGGGUGGACGGUCACACUGGGACUGAGACACGGCCCAGACUCCUACGGGAGGCAGCAGUGGGGAUUAUUGCACAAUGGGCGCAAGCCUGAUGCAGCGACGCCGCGUGAGGGAUGGAGGCCUUCGGGUUGUGAACCUCUUUCGCCAGUGAAGCAGGCCUGCCUCGUUUGUGGGUGGGUUGAUGGUAGCUGGAUAAGAAGCGCCGGCUAACUACGUG